rnacentral:ncRNA from 2 species
AAGAUGCCAGGGUCAAAAGCCUGAAACCACGAUGUGCUUGCACAGGAGUGGUUUUAUGGCUUAAUGACCCGCCCCGAUAUGAGCAUAAAAGUGGAGCGUAAGCUUCACGAUAUGCGAAUAUUGGAUAGAAUUGUGGGAGUACGAAGUACGGAACAAUUCGUAUGGCAUCUU